GAGGCGGGGCGGCCCCGGAAGCUGGAGAAAAGUUGCAGGGAUCCGAGCGCCAGCAGCUGCUGGAGCUGGAGCCGCUGGAGCGAGGACCACCCCGCAGCCUCCGGACUUUGUUUGCAGAGCAGCGUGCCACGCUUAAGGGGGAACACGGUUCCCAGCUACCCUUGCAGCUCGCGGUGGUCACGUGACACGGAUCUGCCCAAUGGGAUGCUAAUGACGGUCUGGAGGCGGGGCUUCUAGGGAAGACCAAGGCCCCGGAUCCAAGAUGGCAGCCCAGGAGAACGGCUGGACCCCGGGUUCUUGGUGGCUCAGCUUCUCGCAUGAGCAUGAAGGUUCCAACCGAGAGCAAGCUUCCGUUGCCCGCGGGUCCCCUGCGGAGUCCCCGGAUUAACUUCCGUGACCAACUCCCCGCCGACUUCAAGGCUGCCAAACGCAGGUCACUGCAGGAAAGCGUUCUACCGGGGCUGGAGGAGGCUGGAGAGGCCGGAGGCCCAGGGACCACGGCUGUUUAGGCUGCUGCUGGGGAGAUCCGGGACUACUCACGAGUGUAUGCAGACAGGUGAAAGAAAGUGGGUUUUCCCGGGGAGCAUAACACAUGUCCUCACGGUCCCGCAGUGUUCACACUAAGGAGCUUUAUACCUCUUGUUCCUGUUGGCUCCCCCGCAGCCCUGAGACGCGGGUCCUAUUCCUGUCACCUGUCCCACCAUGGAGGGCAAGAAGGAAAUGACUUUCGAGCCACUGGGGCGAUGGGAGCCCUGUCUACAUGAGGCCGGGCACACAAUCGCAUGCACUCCCUACAGUAUGACCCGGGGGACCGCCAGCCAUCGACCACGGUGCUGGGAGCCCGGACCCCAGGGCCAGACCGGCGGGGGCAACACCGGGAUGACCUUGGACGAGCUUCUUAACUCUCUGCCCGUGGGUUUAUUCACCUGUACGUGAAAAAUCACUGAGAUAAGCUGUGAGGACACAUCCUGGCGUAGAGUGUUCAAAGAUCACCUUCUUAGGGAAGCAUUUCCUAAGCUACGUCAUUUCAAGUUUCAGUCUGCACCCGCAAAAAUCCCAAUCCCCCUCCCGGGUGUAUUUGUCUGUAUUUGUGUCCAUCUGACGUACAUACAGUCUGUUUUGCUGCUUUACUGGCGUUUCUUUCUUCUCUCGAAUGGAAGCUCCGUGGAGACGGGACUGUUUGUGUCCGCUGCUCCCCGCUACGUCCGUGUGCCCAGACCUGUGCCUCGCAGUAAACAGUCGGUGCACAGAUUCAGUAAAACACUGGGGGCUGGGUCAGUGUCGCCCCUGCUGCUCCUCCAGAGGGCUUUGCUGGAGACCUACUUCUUCAGCAAGAUGGACUUUGGGGGAGCCACUUGGUCCUCAAGAAAUCCCUCCCUCCCUGUGGCGUAAGAUCUCGGGGCGGCCUCAGGCAUCAUUCCCCUGCAUCCAGCAACCUGCAGCUUGGCCCUUUUACGGCCAGCUAUCCAUCCCGCUGUCCACUUUAUGGGGCUGUUAGAGGAAAUCGCCUUCGGCAGCAAGAUUUCUCAACCUUUAGAGCUCCAGGAUCACAGUUCAUUCAAGUGACACCUUCGUGACAUCUUGUCUGGAUGGCGUUAGGUCGGUUUCCAGGAAGCGGGGAGGUGGCGCUAAGGCCCUGGCGAAAUAAACAGGAUGUGCAGGGAAGGCUCAAAGGCAGGCUUCCCAGAUGCAGUGAGGUGAGGCAUUCGUGCAUCAGACGCACAGGAAAGGCCGUGCGGUGUAAAUUCUGUCCUGUGCCCAGCUGGGG